AUUAAGGAAAUCACAAACUGAAAUUAAUACAUUUAAAACAAAAUUUUGCAUUCAGGGCUGUUUUCAAGGGUAUUGUUUGACCUCUUCUACCAAAGCAGUUUAGCUUUAUUCCAGGGCAAACACUUCUAGGCUGAAUGAAAUUCCACUGCAUCUACUAAUGAUCACAUGUCUGCCUUCAUUUAAGAUAACAGCACCAAAGGUACUUUCUGAAAUCACGAAGAUAACCAGGGGGGAAGUCUGUGUAUGAAAUGUUCCUUUCCAAUAGCCCAUUCCCCUGUCUGCACCAUUCUGUGGACAUUACCACUUGGACAGUUGAAUCAAAGAGCAUGAAGCCUGUGAACAGAUGACAGAACAUAGGAAAAUGGGCCUUCCCAGCUGUGUGACUUUGCUUCUCUGGGCAUAUCACAAAAUAGAGUUCUUGCAUCUAGUGUUCUUCUUGUUGCUCAUGAAAAACAGUUCUUAUAUAAAUGUGGACAGAUUAAAACCAAAUAAAAGACUGUUCCAGGGAAAAUAUUUUAUUUCCUUAGAAAAUUAAGAAUAAAAGUAAAGUAGUUAAAACAUAUGUUAAUAUAUUCAAAACUCAGCAAAUAUAAACUCAAAGAGAAGCAAAUUUAAAGAUUAGUUUAAAUUUGCUUUCUCUUUUGUGAUUGAGACCAUGGAAAUGAUACUUUGCCAUGCUUCAGAGUCAUUGCUGGUUGAUAACUGCAUGUGGAAAUUCAAUUUAUGUGCUACAUUCUCUGCUAGUGUUAAUCAAAAUAUUUCUCUAGUAGUUGCUAGAGUCGUUUAGUAAGCACAGGUGAGAUUUGUUCUAAACCACAGCAUGCGACCUUUGUUUCUGGGAAAAUAUAUUUGAUAAUGUUUGUGUGUUACCGUACUUAAUUAUCCUCAGUUAGUGGAACUUCAUACUGUUUCUUCAUGCCAUUCUCUGACAAAAAGUAAAUGAUGAGGCUUAGGAUUUUAGUCUAGGCAUAAGGAACACUCAUGUUGAGUCAAGGAACACUUGUAUGAAAUAAUUGACUUUGUUUAUCCAUCUGCAAUUUAUCCACAAGAACAGCAUUGAAAGGUGACAUUUAUCUUACAAGUUUCUCAUUCAUUUCUGUACUCUGAACUCAACUUUCAUGCAGCUCAAGUGCAUGAUACAUGUAGAUGAAUAUUUAUUGUAGAUGAUUAAGUGUCCUUUGACAGUAUAAUAUACUUCACUGUAAAAAUAAACAGAUUGUGCAUGAGGCUGUCUGAUUUGACUGGUGGCACAGAUAGUACCUCACUUAUCUAUGCUUUUCAUCAGAAGAUCUCAACACCAUUUACUGAAGAGGGAAGUACCAAUAUUCUUCCUUGGUAAUUCCACAUCCUUUACUGGAUUUAGCAGUGCUUGAAGAUCCUGAGACCUCAAAAGUCCCUCUCAUAACACCCAUACAACAUAUCUUAUUCAAAACUAUGUUUUAAAGUAUUGGAAACAUUGUGGCCCCAUAGGGAUGGAAGCAGGUCUGUAUUUUGAUAUUUCCAGGGGUAAAUACAAGUUUCCACUAAAAUUCUUCAACAAAUAUUACCAUCCCAAUAAACUUAACUGAAUUUCUCUUAAGAACAUUUGUAUAAUCUGCUCUCUAAUUCAAAAUCAUGUCUGGAAUGUUAAUGAAGAGAAUUUGCUAACUUUAGUUUGUAGUUUAACUGUGCUGUAACCCAUGACUGGAAAGGAAGGCCAAGACUCCCAAACUCAUACCACCUCCAAGACAAAGAGAGUUUAUAGAACUGCAACCUUUUGCUAGAAAAAAAUAAUUAAAAAUUAAUCCAGAUUUCACCCUAAAGAAGAGAAAAAAAAUAGAAAUUGAGUUUUAAAGAUGCAUGUUUGUGGCUAAGUAGCUAACCAAAUUUGCAAAGAGAUUUAUAUAUGAUUUAUGUCCCUUUGUUUUUGUUGUUUACUAAGGACCACAUGUUAUCUGGGGCAUUUACUCUAUGAAUAAUAUACUGCAAAAAUAUAACCUAAUGGUGAGAAACUGGUUACUCAGAAAGCCUGGGAAUCAACACAUCUAUUCAGAAGUCUAAUGUGAGGUACCUGGCUUUAAAAUGUAGUGCUCUUAAUGCCUGCCCAUUUUCUGAAACAAAUUGGUGCAGAAGGUGCCAGGUGAAUGACUUGCCAUUUACUGCUACCUACCAUUAAGGGUCUUUUCUGAUGUCUGGAAAUGGGAUUUGAGGGGAAAAAAAAGGAAAGAAACUAAAAUACUGGAUGGGACUUAUGGGAUGUAAGGUUGAAGGAGCUGAGGUUACCCUUGUGGAGUGAACUUGGCAAGGCAGGUGACGAUUUCCAUAGGAGGAGAGAAUCGGCUUUGGGAAACUUUACCACAGCAGACAUGUUUGCUAGUAAAAGAGAAAAGAACCAUGUUUGAAGCCGUUGGAUGUGUUUUGGCUUUUAGAUAAAGAAGGACAAGCAAUAAAUACGUCACCAAUAUCUCACUGAAAAUCUCAGAUGCUGGCUCAGCUUUGUCAGUGACAUAUUGCAAAUUUUAAAAAUAAUGAAGGUGAUUUCGGUUCUGGUGGAUACCUGUCUAGCUGGAACCUCUUACUACCAUGGUAUGCUUUUGUUCACUGUGGUAAUUUUAAUGGCAUGGAUGCCACAAGUAAGGGAUCACUCUCGUGAGGAAAUUGUAGAGAAAAGGAAGAAGUAUAAAGAAUCCAGCUCUAUUUCAGCUGGAUCAACUAAUAUUUCAAUAUAAAA